UACGGGGGAUGCAAGCGUUAUCCGGAAUCAUUGGGCGUAAAGCGCCUGUAGGUUGUUUAAUAAGUCUGUUGUUAAAGACUGGGGCUUAACCCCAGGAAAGCAAUGGAAACUACUAGACUAGAGUAUGGUAGGGGUAAAGGGAAUUUCUAGUGUAGCGGUGAAAUGCGUAGAUAUUAGAAAGAACACCGGUGGCGAAAGCGCUUUACUGGACCAUUACUGACACUCAGAGGCGAAAGCUAGGGUAGCCAAAGGGAUUAGAUACCCCUGUAGUCCUAGCCGUAAACGAUGGAUACUAGAUGUUGUGUUUAAUAUGCAGUAUCGUAGCUAACGCGUUAAGUAUCCCGCCUGGGGAGUACGCUCGCAAGGGUG
rnacentral:rRNA from 1 species